UCUAGCCUCAUUUUCAUGUUCUGAAGGCACCCUUAAUAGAAACUCUGAUUUUGUUUGUAUCUGGGGAGAAAUCCAGGGGAAAGAAGAGAAAUUCCAUGAAUCCUCCUACAGGCAACUUUUAUCAGAGGCGUGUAACAUACAGUGAAUGCAGUUAAUUUGGGCAACUGGUGCAUGAUUUAUAGCUUUGAGGAUCUAAUCUAAUCUGGGUCAUUCCUCUUAUUAGAGGUGUGACCCUGGGCAAACCACACGCAUAGCCUUAGCUUCCAUUUUCCUCCAUCUGUACAAGGGGGAUACUAACACCUCCUUGGCAGAGCUGUGGGAAUUUCACAAGAUGCACGUGCCAACAUCUGUGCGCGUGGAAUGCACUAAAUAUCAGUAAAUGACCAGUGAUGAUGACAACGAAGAAUGAUGAUAUUUAUCAAUAACAAUCACUUUCAAGGAAAAUAUUUUCAUUGUGUUUUGAAUUAUUUAGACUCUCCAUACCAAAAAAGGCCACAAGAAAUUGCUUAUCUUUUAUCUAAGUUUUUCUAAGCCACCAGAGCCUAAAAUCAAAAUGAUUUAUAGAUUAAUUUCAGGAAGAGAAAAAGAGAAAUGUGGUUGGGGAGAGGGAGAAAGAGGGAGGGAGGAUCUUUUCUUCCUUUCUCCUGAGCUUCCAUCUUGUCCCACAGAGGUGGGUACCUCAGGCCUUUCUCCCAUGCAAUGCUGGGAAGGGAGGAACCCUCUACACCUCCCAUUAUUUUCAGGAGGACAGCGGCUGCUGUGACUGAUCUCACCUUCACAUUCAUUGGUGACCACUAGAGGUGGGAGUCGCUGGGAUAUUUUUAGCAUAGGCUGGAUGACACCUCCAUGGCAGGUACGUCAGCCACCUCUGCUUUAGUCACCAGCAUAGGGCUGUGCUUAGCAGAGAGCCUAGCAUAGAGAGGAUGCUUAUUAAAUAUUGGGUAAAAGAAUAAAAUGAUAAAUAAGGGCCACUAUAAAAUGAAUGUUACACAAAAACGUGUUUUCCCCAACAACUCACCCAGAUGAAGACUUACAGAGCAGCCCAGCUACUCCUCCCCAUAUAGAAUUCCUCAUCUGUUUCAGGCAACGCAGAUGUGAAGAGAAUAAAUAUGAAAGUCUCCCUCCUGGCCCUGGCUUGCAGCCCUCUGCUCCCUUUAGAGGUGAAACACCCUCAUGCACACUGGAGCAUCAGCACGGUGAGGGCAGGGCGUCCACGUGUCUUUGUGCCCUGCUUGACCCCGUGCUGGGACCUUCUACGAGAGCCACGGUGACACGUACAGCAGAUUUCCGGGACACGGCAGUUGUGAAAAUAAAAGAACGAAAGAAUGAACAAAAGGAAAGUGAACACUUCCCCAUUUUAUAGAUUGGAGAGUUGAGGUUUGGCGAGUGAUGUGAAUUAUCCAUGAUUACGUAGCUGAGGUUUGGCCAAGUGCAGACUCCAGAUGGUUCUGUCUAGUUCUGCCUCCCAGGGCUUUCCCCUGUGCAGGCUGCCUCGACCCUGCCUGACUGCCGCCUGUGUCUGAAUCUCUCAGAGCCGUCUGUCUUAAACAGGAAGAGACGGCCUUUAUAUACUGUUUUCAAGGCAACCCACUCCCAUUUAAUGUUAGUCUAGAUGGUUGCAGGUGUAUUUUGUUAUGCUGGCUUCUGGUUUACUCUGCAUAGUCGGGGAGCAUGAGAGGGGUGAUAUGGUUAGCAAAUGCCUUUGAAUUGUUACAUAACUACAUUGAUUCCUUGAAAAAAGCCAUCUUAUUAAAACAAAACAAGGAAUAUUAUGCCUUGUUGAAGCUGACCUAUCAAAAUGUAAAAGAAAUAAAGUAAUGAAUGGUGUCUUGGAAAAAA
rnacentral:lncRNA from 10 species